GCAGGUAAACAUAGGAUCCGGGAGGCGAUGACACCUUGGGUGUGACAGAAGGGCUCUUCUGCUGCCCCAGGUCGGAUUCCAAGCCGACAUCAUUGUGCCAUUAACUUGGGAGUCCAAAGAGACCAAGUUCAGCAUGAGAGAGGGGAAACAGAAGGCCAUGAUGUUACUGUGCUCCUGGUGGUGGCGAGACCUCUGCCUGUGUGGGUGAUCUUGCAGUGUCUUGCCCCUUUUUGCCCUCGGCC